GCGGAUGUGGCGGAAUUGGCAGACGCGCCAGACUUAGGAUCUGGUACCGCAAGGUGUGGGGGUUCAAGUCCCUUCAUCCGCACCA
rnacentral:tRNA from 1 species